rnacentral:tRNA from 1 species
ACUCGCUUGGUGAAAUGGUAAACACGACAGACUCAAAAUCUGUUUCUACGGAUUAUCGGUUCAAGUCCGAUAGCGAGUA